rnacentral:rRNA from 2 species
GGCUCAUUAGCUAGUUGGUGGGGUAAAGGCCCACCAAGGCGACGAUCGGUAGCCGGUCUGAGAGGGUGAUCGGCCACACUGGGACUGAGACACGGCCCAGACUCCUACGGGAGGCAGCAGUGGGGAAUUUUUCACAAUGGGCGAAAGCUUGAUCCAGCAACCCCGCGUGAGUGAAGAAGGCUUUCGGGUUGUAAAACUUUUUUGUCCGGGAAGAAAUCUUCCAGUAUAAAACGGCUGCACGAUGACGGUACCUUAAGAAAAAGCCCCGGCUAACUACGUGCCAGCAGCCGCGGUAAUACGUAGGGGGCCAGCGUUAUUCGGAAUUUUUGGGCGUAAAGCGCGCGCAGGCGGUUUUUAAGUCUGAUGUGAAAACCCACGGCUCAACCUGGGAGGGUCAUUGGAAACUGGGAGACUUGAGUGCAGAAGAGGAAAAUGGAAUUCCAAGUGUAGCGGUGAAAUGCGUAAAGAUUUGGAGGAACACCAGUGGCGAAGGCGACUCUCUGGUCUGAAACUGACGCUGAGGCGCGAAAGCGUGGGGAGCAAACAGGAUUAAAUACCCUGGUAGUCCACGCCGUAAACGAUGAUGGCUAAGUGUUGGGGGGUUUCCGCCCCUUAAUGCUG